rnacentral:rRNA from 1 species
ACAACGAAGAGUUUGAUCCUGGCUCAGGAUGAACACUAGCGACAGGCCUAACACAUGCAAGUCGAGCGGCAGCACCUCGGGUGGCGAGCGGCGCACGGGUGAGUAACGCUUAUGUAACCUGCCCUUAAGUGGGGGAUAGCCCGGUGAAAACCGGAUUAAUACCGCAUAAUACGGGUUGAGAGCAUUUUCAACUUGUUAAAGAUUUAUUGCUUAAGGAUGGACAUGCGUCCGAUUAGCUUGU